UACGUAGGGGGCAAGCGUUGUCCGGAUUUAUUGGGCGUAAAGAGCGUGUAGGCGGCCAUACAGGUCCGUUGUGAAAACUGGAGGCUUAACCUCCAGACGUCGAUGGAAACCGUAUGGCUAGAGUCCGGAAGAGGAGAGUGGAAUUCCUGGUGUAGCGGUGAAAUGCGCAGAUAUCAGGAAGAACACCCGUGGCGAAGGCGGCUCUCUGGGACGGUACUGACGCUGAGACGCGAAAGCGUGGGGAGCGAAGCAGG
rnacentral:rRNA from 1 species